rnacentral:lncRNA from 1 species
AUUAGAUUCUUCCCUCUUGUUUGCUCCCCUGAUUAUACCUCAAAGCUGCUAAUUGUGACAGGCAGUGGCUUCCUUAGGCUGAUGAGAGCGCUGGCUAAUGACAUCCUUAAGCCACUCUGCCAGCCUGGGGGCACGCACCUAUCUGUUUGUCCUUUCCAAUCAGACUUAAACCAGAAGGGCCAACGGGUCAAGGGGAAUGACUGUAACAGUGAAAACUGGAUCUCUUUCCUCUCCCUGCUUUCCUAAUGUCCUGGGUGCUGGCCCGGGGCUUGGCUUAUUAUAGACACAUAAAAUAGGCUGAAAUCCAGGUGGAGGGAGUUAUUGGUUGACAUCACUGAGGGGAAACUGGGCUCGGAUGAGGCAGGGCCCACCUGCUGCUGAAACCCAGAUUUACAGAAAGAAAGUUGCCCAGCAGGCCCUGGAUUUGGUUGCCUUCCUUUGCUAUUGUCACGGAUUGUAAACAGAUCCGUGGGUUGCUGGAGGCAGAUUGUCACAGAAUUCUAGAUGGAGUGUCAUGAAAAGGCAGAUAGAUUGUUGUGGAAUCAUGGAUUGAUUGUUGUACCUCUGAGGACAGAUUGUUGGAGAAAUGUAGAGGGAUUGUCAGGGAAUUGUAGAGGGACGGUUAGCAGAGAUGGAGGUGGAUUGUCGUGGUACUGUGGACAGAUUGUUGUGAGAACGUCCCCAUGCUAUGGGGGCUCGACAGGUCUGUGACAGCGGGCAGAUGGGCCUGUGAUCGAUGUGUUCCCCCUGUGCAAGGACAGCCGGAUGAAGGUGCAAACAGCCCGGCUAAUAGAUGAGAAAUGCAGAGCGGGGCUGAUAAGGCCCCAGCACCCGAACUGUGAUGAAUGGGGAAGGAUGCAGCGGGCUAUUUGUUUCCAAGAAAUGAGUGACUUCUGGGGAGAGAAAUGAGUGAGGAAGACAGAGAGUGGAAAAGAAGAGGCCAAAGGAGACACUUCCCUGAUUUCCUUGUUUUCUUCUGUGUGACAAGGAGCUCAAGAGCAAAGAGAAGCUCCCAAAGACUAAGCUACUUUCCAGAUGAGGACAUGGAAACCCAGAACGUUUCAAUGAUUUUUCCAAGCUCAAACAGUGUACAGAAAUUGAGGCAGCCUGUUAUUGUGUGAAGAACACAGGAAUUGAAGUCAGAGAACCUGGAUUUCAGUUUUGACUUUGCUACAUAAGAAGUCCUGUGACCUUGUAAAGUUACUUUCCUUCUGUUAAAUAAAGCAGUUGGAAUAAUUAUUAUUUUGAAAGUU